GCUGGGUGCGGCGGUGCGUGCCUGUAGUCCCAGCUACUCAGGAGGUUGAGGUGGGGGGAUCGCUUGAGCCUAGGAGUUCUGGGCUGUAGUGCGCUAUGCCGAUCGGUUGUCCACACUAAGUUUGGCAUCAAUAUGAUGUCCUCCAGGGAGCGGGGGACCACCAGGCUGCCUAAGGAGGGCUGAACUGGCCCAGGUCAGAAAUGGAGCUGUUCAAAACUCCUGUGCUGAUCAGUAGUGGGAUCGCGCCUGUGAAUAGUCACUGCACUCCAGCCUGGGCAACAUAGCGAGACCCCAUCUCU
rnacentral:SRP_RNA from 1 species